ACCUGACAUGUCACUUUCUUACAGACUGAUAGGAUACUGUGAGAGGGAAACUACUGUAUCACCUGUUUAUGACCAAAGUCUUAUUAGAACAAGACAAAGGACGUCUCAGUGAAGCCAAGUAACUGCUGAAACAAACACAGGGCUUUGGUCAAGAUGAUAGAUCCAAUCCAGUUGAAAAACCUACUUUUUACAUUUGGAGGGGCAGCAUCGGUGAAAGCAGCACAUGUAAUAAUUCCAUCUUAUCAAUCUGUGUCAGUGACAAUAACAGUUUCGUUGAUCUUCCUUGGAAUCUACGCAGUGACCAAAGACCAUUCUCCAGAAAAUAUGACAAAGAUAAUCAUCGGAAUGAUCGCAUUGAACGUCACUGAUUUGCUCAAAAUGGAAAUCAAGCUGGCGUGUGGAUUCAAUGCUUUUGUGAUACUCAUACUCGGUCUUAUGUCUAUGAAGGGGAACCAGGAAUCAGCUGAAAAGAAGCCACAAAGCCUACCAGGUGGUCCUUUUUCUCUCUCAAGUACACAGAGGUGCAGAGUUACGAUUGUGCGAGGGGGCCAAUCUGUUGUAGUUUAUAGGAGAGGAAUGUAAAGUGACAUUGGUUCAAAGGUUGGUGUGCUGAUAAUAACAAUGAAUUUACAGGGUAUACUCGAUGCCGUAGCUAUGAGUCUACGCUGUAACCUAUGCUGUAGCAUCAUGUGCACUCCUGUCUGUUUCUGUUUACUGAAACAUUUUCUCUCAGUGGAAACGCAGCUUUUAUCUACUUGUAUUUCACAGAUAAGAAACAAUAAAUUGUGAAGACAGUAAAGCCCCCACUAAAAUAGGAUUUUAAGUCUUGUGUGUGAUUUAUCUGUCAGGAUUUAUCCUGGCUUCAUAUGAGAAGUGGAAAUCUCCGCUCAUUGCUAGGCAAAUUUAUACAAUGUAAAAUGCUGUAGGUUAAUAAAGUUAGCAUGUUGUAUUUGUUUGGAAAAAGCUUAGUAUGGAACAGUCGUUUUGUGAGUUGUAAUGGAGCCAAAUUGUGUGCUGUUACCUUUGUUAAAUGUUGCUGUUGUCCCUGGUUUUAUA